rnacentral:rRNA from 1 species
UACAGGGGGUGCAAACGUUGCUCGGAAUCAUUGGGCGUAAAGCGCACGUAGGCGGUUCGUUAUGUCGGAUGUGAAAGCCCUUGGUCUUAACCGAGGAAGUGCAUCCGAAACUGGCGAGCUAGAGUACUAAAGAGGAUCGCGGAAUUCCCGGUGUAGAGGUGAAAUUCGUAGAUAUCGGGAGGAACACCGGUGGCGAAGGCGGCGAUCUGGUGAGAUACUGACGCUGAGGUGCGAAAGCGUGGGGAGCAAACAGG